rnacentral:snRNA from 1 species
AAGCCUUGGUUCUCCUUCAUUUACACGAAAAAAUCUUUCGCUUUUUACUAAAGUUUUCCGUGGAGGAGAACAACACAAUGGGCUUAAAGGUAUUUUUUGUCGCCCGCGGGUUUUCCAGGCG